GACGAACGCUGGCGGCGUGCUUAACACAUGCAAGUCGAACGGAAAGGCGCUGCUUUUGUGGGGUGCUCGAGUGGCGAACGGGUGAGUAACAUGAGAGUAACCUGCCCUUGACUUUGGGAUAACUUCAGGAAACUGGGGCUAAUACCGGAUAGGAGCUCCUGCUGCAUUGUGGUGGUUGGACAGUUUCGGCGGUUGGUGCUGGACUCGCGGCUUAUCAGCUUGUUGGUGGGGUAGUGGCUUACCAAGGCUUCGACGGGUAGCCGGCCUGAGAGGGUGACCGGCCACAUUGGGACUGAGAUACGGCCCAGACUCCUACGGGAGGCAGCAGUGGGGAAUAUUGCACAGUGGGCGGAAGCCUGAUGCAGCAACGCCGCGUGCGUGAUGACGGCCUUCGGGUUGUGAACCGCUUUCGCCUGUGACGAAGCGUGAGUGACGGUAAUGGGUAAAGAAGCACCGGCUAACUACGUG
rnacentral:rRNA from 1 species